UGGUUGCAAAUUGCUGUCAAGCUUUAGGAUAUUCUGCCGUCGGCAGAAGAAGGGCAGAGUUAUUUGAGCUGUGCUUUCCUGCCAGCUGUGCUGAAGCUGGGAUGACGUUUUCAAUCUCUUGCAGGUAGGAGACUUGGUGUGCGUUAUUGCAAUGCCCCAAAGGAGCUGAGCCCCUGGUGGAGAGGCAAGCGUGGCUUUGAGGUAGGCACACGUUUUUGACUAGAGAGCACAACUUCAGUAGAGUUGGGAAUCUCAGCUUGGAGCUGCUCUGCCUGCACAGGAUGGCUGCUGGAUGCAAACAGUUGCCCUGUGUCACUGUCAGUGGACCUUCCCUUUGGCUCUGGGCUCGGGCUAAUGCUCACCUGUCUUUUUGUUCUAAUUACAGGUUGGGCUUUUCCCUGGUGAGUGCAUGGAACUCAUCAGCGGAAAAGUUCCCGAUUCCCUCCUCAAUUCAUUGCCAAAGCCAGUGCCAAGGAGACGGGGCAAGCUCAUCCCCUUCCUUCGCUCCCUGGUGAAGGCCCGCCCCAGGAGAGCGACGGAGCCGGAGCCGAAGAAGGAAGGGGUGUUUGGGUGUGACCUGGGGGAGCACCUUCUGCGCUCUGGCCGUGAUGUCCCCCAGGUCCUGCAGAGCUGCGCUCAGUUCAUUGAGCAGCAUGGCGUGGUGCGGGGGAUAUACCGCCGUUCCGGCGUCGCGUCCAAGAUCCAGCAACUACGGUAAGAGUGCUGCAACUGACACAGCUGUCAGUAGGGGCACGUGCCAUGCUGCGGGCGUUCAGAGGAACCCCUUCCUUUUCUUGACUGUAUUUUGUGUGGCUUUGGACUUGUUUUCGUCUUUCUCAAAGCCCUCUGCCCAAUUCUGUGUCCUUCUCUGCAGCCAUGAAUUCGAUACGGAGCAGGUUCCCGAGCUCAGCGUCCGAGACAUUCACAGCGUGAGCUCCCUGUGCAAGAUGUAUUUCAGGGAGCUCCCAAACCCUCUGCUGACCGACCAGCUGUAUGACAAGUUCUCGGUAAGCUCAGGGCAAUGUCUUGGAAAUGACACGUACC
rnacentral:lncRNA from 1 species